GGGGAAUAUUGCCAAAUGGAGGAAACUCUGACCAGCAACGCCGCGUGAAUGAUGACGGUCUUCGGAUUGUAAAGUUCUUUUCUCAGGGACGAUAAUGUGACGGUACCUUAGGAAUAAGCCUCGGCUAACUAC
rnacentral:rRNA from 1 species